rnacentral:rRNA from 1 species
CAUGCCGUAAACGUUGGGUGCUAGACGUGGGGGCCUUUCCACGGUUUCCGUGUCGUAGCUAACGCAUUAAGCACCCCGCCUGGGGAGUACGGCCGCAAGGCUAAAACUCAAAGGAAUUGACGGGGGCCCGCACAAGCGGCGGAGCAUGCGGAUUAAUUCGAUGCAACGCGAAGAACCUUACCAGAACUUGACAUGGCGGAUAAUGCUGCAGAAAUGCAGAGAUAAUACCCGCACACAGGUGG